rnacentral:rRNA from 1 species
CGCAGGCGGCUGGGUCAGUCCGAUGUGAAAGCUCCCGGCUUAACUGGGAAAUUGCAUCGGAAACUGCUCAGCUUGAAGGUGGGAGAGGGUAGCGGAAUUCCCGGUGUAGUGGUGAAAUGCGUAGAUAUCGGGAGGAACACCAGUGGCGAAGGCGGCUACCUGGCCCAUUCUUGACGCUGAGGCGCGAAAGCUAGGGGAGCAAACG